rnacentral:hammerhead_ribozyme from 1 species
CCACUGCUGAGGAGUCCCAUAAUAGGACGAAACGGCCGUCCAGUAC